GACGAACGCUGGCGGCGUGCCUAAUACAUGCAAGUAGAACGCAGUUGCGAACGGGUGAGUAACGCGUCGGUAACUGCCUCAUAGCGGGGGAUAACUAUUGGAAACGAUAGCUAAUACCGCAUACUUUGAGAUGGACCUGCGUUGUCUUAGCUAGUUGGUGAGGUAAAGGCUCACCAAGUCGACGAUACAUAGCCGACCUGAGAGGGUGAUCGGGCACACUGGGACUGAGACACGGGCCUGACGUCUACAGGAGGGAGCAGUAGGGAGUCUUCGGCAAGGGACCGAAGGCUGACCGGGCAACGCCGCGUGAGUGGAGAAGGUUUUCGGAUCGUAAAGCUCUGUUGUUAGAGAAGCGGUAACUAAACAGAAAAGGACGGCUAACUACGUUCCAGCAGCCGCGGUAAUUC
rnacentral:rRNA from 1 species